rnacentral:rRNA from 1 species
AGUGAACGCUGGCGGUAGGCCUAACACAUGCAAGUCGAACGGCAGCACAGUAAGAGCUUGCUCUUACGGGUGGCGAGUGGCGGACGGGUGAGGAAUACAUCGGAAUCUACUUUUUCGUGGGGGAUAACGUAGGGAAACUUACGCUAAUACCGCAUACGACCUACGGGUGAAAGCAGGGGAUCUUCGGACCUUGCGCGAUUGAAUGAGCCGAUGUCGGAUUAGCUAGUUGGCGGGGUAAAGGCCCACCAAGGCGACGAUCCGUAGCUGGUCUGAGAGGAUGAUCAGCUACACUGGAACUGAGACAGGGUCCAGACUCCUACGGGAGGCAGCAGUGGGGAAUAUUGGACAAGGGGCGCAUGCCUGAUCCAGCCAUACCGCGUGGGUGAAGAAGGCCUUCGGGUUGUAAAGCCCUUUUGUUGGGAAAGAAAAGCAGCAGGUUAAUACCCCGCUGUUCUGACGGUACCCAAAGAAUAAGCACCGGCUAACUUCGUG